UACGCUAGGGGAGCACAUCGCUGAGAUUGAAAAGGUGCCCGCACCUUUUCUAACCCUCAUUACCUGAACUGGAUAAUACCGGCGUAGGGAAGCAG
rnacentral:ncRNA from 1 species